UACGUAGGGCGCAAGCGUUGUCCGGAAUUCUUGGGCGUAAAGAGCUCGUAGGCGGCCUGUUGCGUCCGCUGUGAAAUCCCGGGGCUUAACCCCGGGCGUGCAGUGGAUACGGGCAGGCUGGAGGCAGGCAGGGGAGAACGGAAUUCCCGGUGUAGCGGUGAAAUGCGCAGAUAUCGGGAGGAACACCGGUGGCGAAGGCGGGUCUCUGGGCCGAUAUUGACGCUGAGGAGCGAAAGCGUGGGGAGCGAACAGG
rnacentral:rRNA from 1 species